rnacentral:tRNA from 1 species
GACGUGUGUCUGAAAGAUAAGACUUACCUUGAUAGGGUAACAUAUAGGAGUUCGAACCCCCUCAC